CUUAAAUUCAAUGGAAACUCCAGUAAAAUAAUCAAGGUUCUCUAUGAGGAAGCAGGACAAGUUACAAAAGAUGCAGUUGAGCAUAUCAGGACUGUUGCAUCAUUUAGUGCUGACAAACAGGUGCUGCAAUUAUUCAAGAUCAAAUGUGAAGGCCCCUUGAAGAAGAGAAUCAAAUGUGCUUAUGCUGGAGGAGCUUCAUAUGGGUUAUCAUCCUUCCUUUUGUAUUUCAUCUAUGGAGCAACUUUUUAUGUUGGGGCCACUCUUAUAAGGGAUGGAAGAGCAACUAGUACUACUUUUUAUCUUGCACUUUUUGCACUGACAGAUGAAGUACUAAAUGUCACCAACUGGCUAGGACU